UGGGGCAUCAGUUGAAUAACGAUGAGUACCUGCUGUCAGGACGUGUCGAGGACGGCAGGGUCGUUCUUUAUUUAUGUGACCUUGUGAAGCCUUGGAACAAACUCUCCCAAGUUCAAAAGUGGUACCUCAGCAUGUAUCAGAAAGGCUGUGUCUGUGAGAUCUCGCGCUGUACUGGAGAAUCCUGUUUGAAUGAGAUGCUUCAGAAAAAAUGUCUGAUGAGAGUCACCAAUAUAUUCAGGCUUGAUGAUGAAAAGGCUCUUCAGUCUAUUUGCCUGCCAGGCAAUGACGGCUUCUGCAGUUGGCAACAAAUUCUUGAGAAAUAAUUACAAAUGCUCCUAAAAAUGAUGCCCUGAAGAACAAGUGCAUCAGCCAUUCAGCAGUGUGCAUUUUUGCCCUUUUGUUCUCCAGAAUGCUUAGAACAAUUUGAAAUUAAUUUAAACGAUUUAAUGAAGCUUUGCAAUUCAGUCAGCAAAUGCAUACAAAACCCUUUUCAUGGAGAUCUGCAAUCAACCAUUAAACUAUUUUGCAUGUAAAA